rnacentral:rRNA from 1 species
UACGUAGGGUGCGAGCGUUGUCCGGAAUCACUGGGCGUAAAGAGCUCGUAGGCGGUCUGUCGCGUCGGUCGUGAAAACUUGGGGCUUAACCCUGAGCUUGCGGUCGAUACGGGCAUGACUGGAGUUCGGUAGGGAGACUGGAAUUCCUGGUGUAGCGGUGAAAUGCGCAGAUAUCAGGAGGAACACCGGUGGCGAAGGCGGGUCUCUGGGCCGAUACUGACGCUGAGGAGCGAAAGCAUGGGGAGCGAACAGG